CACGUGUAUCCAUAUAUAUAUAUAUAUAUAUACUAUAGAUACUUAUUCGGUGACAAGUCAGUAUCAGUUGAAACCUCUUCAAGUGAAAUACGUUAAUAAAUCUGUAAAAAUAAUAAUUACUAUUAUUUUAAUUUUUUGAAUCCCAAUUACUUGGAAAAUUAUGUCUCGCUUGUUGAUAAUUUGUUUAAUCGCAUUAUGCCUAGUUGCAACAUUGAUGGCAUUCCCAAACAGAAAAUAUCCUCGACACGCAAAUUUUGGAAGCACCAUUAUCAGUCGAGAUGAUACAACAACCGAGAAAUGUGAGUUGUGCUUUGAUAAACCAAGAAGAAUCUAACAUACAGCUGCAAUAUAAAAUAUAUAUUUUAUCAUUUUUUUCAACAAAAUAUUUUAUUUUAUAUUGUAUAAAAUGACAUCAUAUCUGAUCAUUUGCGGCAUUUUAAGUCAGCAAUUUAGUCUAUCUAGUUCAACAAAAAUCAAACAAUCCAGCUUAGUCAAUUUAUAAUCCACUAAAGUCAUAAAUUUUUAUUUUAAGUUUAGAUUACAUUAACUAAUGUUAAGUCAGUAUCACAAUAAUUAUAUAAUAAGCAAUAACAAAAAACCUUAACUGCAAAAAAAAAAUAUAUAUAUAUAUAUAUAUAUAUAUAUAUAUGCAUGUAUAUGUUCAGCUAAAAAGUAUUAAAAUUAAAUAGCACAUUUAAAUCUAUUUCAACGUAUUUGAAAAUGCGUAUUUUUUCUUUAUUUAAUGGAUAUUCGUAAAUAAUGGAAAAAAAAAAAAAAAAUACAUAAUAGCGCCUUUCAUUUACAAUAAUUAAAUUUAUAUUUCUAUGUUUUUAAGAAUGAGCAGUUUUAUUGUAACUAUUAUUGUUAAUAUUAUUAUGUAUAAUUAAAUGCAUGUUGUAAAAUAAAAUAUUGAUAUAAAUCACGUAUUUAAAAAAAAAUAAAUAUAGAUAUAAAAAGUUUUUGGAAAUAGGGUGACUGAGACAGCAAAUGAACACUUAGUUAAUGAAUGAACGGUCGUAAUUUUAUGUACAGAGUAUCUUGAUCUAAAAUGAUACAACAAAACUACAGUUCAAGUUCUAGAAGUUGUUAAUAAAACAUUUUAUGUAAUUGUAAUUAAAGUCUAAAAGAUGGACAGAAUAAGUAAAAAUUUAAUCAUGUCGA